rnacentral:rRNA from 2 species
CCAAUAGCGUAUAUUAAAGUUGUUGCAGUUAAAAAGCUCGUAGUUGAAUUUCGGGAUCAAGGAAUCGGUCAUGCCUUGGUAUGUACUGGUUUUAUUGGUUCUCACCUUCUAAAGAACCAUAAUGUCAUUUAUUUGAUGUUAUGGGGAAUUAGGACUGUUACCUUGAAAAAAUUAGAGUGUUUAAAGCAAGCUUACGCUUGAAUACAUUAGCAUGGAAUAAUGAAAUAGGACAUCAGAUUCUAUUUUGUUGGUUUCUAGGAUCGAUGUAAUGAUUAAUAGGGAUAGUUGGGGGCAUUAGUAUUCAAUUGUCAGAGGUGAAAUUCUUGGAUUUAUUGAAGACUAACUACUGCGAAAGCAUUUGCCAAGGAUGUUUUCAUUAAUCAAGAACGAAAGUUAGGGGAUCGAAGACGAUCAGAUACCGUCGUAGUCUUAACCAUAAACUAUGCCGACUAGGGAUCGGAUGAUGUUAAUUUUAUAAUGACUCAUUCGGCACCUUACG